AUUCCAGCUCCAAUAGCGUAUAUUAAAGUUGUUGCAGUUAAAAAGCUCGUAGUUGGAUUUCUGUCCUUCUUUCCUUCCCCCCCCCUCUUUUUUUUCUUUGUGUCCUUCUGGCCAUCCUUGGUAAGAUCCUUUUUGGCAUUAAGUUGUCGGGAAGGGGAUGACCAUCGUUUACUGUGAAAAAAUUAGAGUGUUUAAAGCAGGCUUAUGCCGUUGAAUAUAUUAGCAUGGAAUAAUAAGAUAGGACUUUGAGUCUAUUUUGUUGGUUUGCGAGUCAAAGUAAUGAUUAAUAGGGACAGUUGGGGGUAUUCGUAUUUCAUUGUCAGAGGUGAAAUUCUUGGAUUUCUGAAAGACGAACUACUGCGAAAGCAUUUACCAAGGAUGUUUUCAUUA
rnacentral:rRNA from 1 species